UCUCCGUUGGUGAACCAGCGGAGGGAUCAUUACUGGAAUCGCAAGAUCCCACAACCCCUGUGAACCUACCGAAGCGUUGCCUCGGCGGGCGCCCGCCCCCCCGCCGGGCGCUGAGCCCGCCGGCGGCCCCCCACUCUUCUCUCUGCAGCGUGGCAUCCCAGAGUCCCCGAAAACCAGUAAAAACUUUCAACAACGGAUCUCUUGGCUCUA
rnacentral:misc_RNA from 1 species